rnacentral:rRNA from 1 species
UGGGGAAUAUUGCACAAUGGGCGCAAGCCUGAUGCAGCCAUGCCGCGUGUGUGAAGAAGGCCUUCGGGUUGUAAAGCACUUUCAGCGAGGAGGAAGGUGGUGAACUUAAUACGUUCAUCAAUUGACGUUACUCGCAGAAGAAGCACCGGCUAACUCCGGUGCCAGCAGCCGCGGUAAUACGGAGGGUGCAGCGUAAUCGGAAUUACUGGGCGUAAAGCGCACGCAGGCGGUUUGUUAAGUCAGAUGUGAAAUCCCCGGGCUCAACCUGGGAACUGCAUUUGAAACUGGCAGCUAGAGUCUCGUAGAGGGGGGUAGAAUUCCAGGUGUAGCGGUGAAAUGCGUAGAGAUCUGGAGGAAUACCGGUGGCGAAGGCGGCCCCCUGGA